CGGGGUAGAAUUGACUAUUUCUCUUCACAGUAAUGGAGAAGGAUAGCAGUGGCUCGACAGGAAGCGGUGCUGUCAAUCGCGAAGGGGUGCUGGAGAAGAUGUUAGCAGAGGAGGUCGCUAAGCGACAUGAUGCAGAGCGAGCGGCAGAAGGAUUGCGGAGGCGGAUGCAGCUGCUGGAGGCAGAAGUACUUGAUCUGCGACAGGCCAGCGACUGGAAGAAGGGUUCUGUUUUAUGCACAGCUGCUGGCGACGAUGGCACCGCCGUAUCGACUGUCGGCGAUGCGGAAUGUGCGGAUAGUAGUGAUUCUGCCCUUAAAAUAGAGAAUCAUCGGCUGAGGGAGUUUGUUAAACGACAAAAUGCUCUUAUCGAUGUUCUGCGCCGUCAAAAAGUUCUUCUCGAAGCUAGUGCAGCUGUCAACAUAUCCGUGCGCGACUUUGACAAGCAGCUGGAAAUCCACAAGGUAUAGAGUCGUUCGUUUCUUCUUGCUGGUAUCGGAGCACUGCAGUUAAGGAUCCCCUCUGGAAAGCAUUGUUAAUGGUUUUUCUGGUUUAUUCGGAUGUGCUAUGCUGUUACCGAAUAUUGGUGAUCUGUAUCUAUGAUGUAGUGUUCAUCUGGCGUCUUUUUUUCCUCUUCACUUCAAGGUGCGGAAAGUUCGUUGGCUGCUGCCGCGACGAAAACAAGAAGGAAGACGAAAUGAACAAAGAGAGUGCUCGAGGGCUUGCGGAUGAGGAUAAUUAAUCGGCUACCCUAGCACUUUUUUUCCGACUGAGAUUCCUACUGUCGUGAAAAUGUUUGCUACGAUGUGGUUGAGGGCAUGCAAAGGAGGGAAGCAGCUUUGAAUGGCGCGACCGUAUAUAUGCUACAAUCACGGAGCUUCGUGCACAUGGACCUUGCAAACCGACGCGUGAAAAGACACUGCUCCAGCUUCUUUCCCUCGAUAUGUGCAACCUCUUGGACGUUGGUUUUUUUUUAAAG
rnacentral:misc_RNA from 1 species